CCUACGGGUGGCAGCAGUGGGGAAUAUUGGGCAAUGGGCGCAAGCCUGACCCAGCAACGCAGCGUGAAGGAAGACGGCUUUCGGGUUGUAAAAUUCUUUUGACAGGGAAGUGUAGAAGACGGUACCUGUCGAAUAAGCUACGGCUCACUACGUGCCAGCCGCCGCGGUAAUACGUAGGUGGCCAGCGUUGUACGGAUUUACUGGGGGUAAAGGGCGUGUAGCCGGGUUGACAAGUCAGAUGUGAAAUCCUGCGGCUUAACCGCAGAAGUGCAGUUGAAACUGUUGAUCUUGAGUACUGGAGGGGCAGACGGAAUUCAUAGUGUAGCGGUGAAAUGCGUAGAUAUUAGGAGGAACACC
rnacentral:rRNA from 1 species